AGGGGGCCUCCGUCCAAGGGAAUUGAUCCUCUCCCAGAAGAUUUGAGAGAUGAUUCCCCAGCAGUUUGCCCCUCUCCUUAACCCUUAUGAUGACGACGGACAACUCGGCCCACCAAUAUUUAGUAAACAUAAAUAACUAGUAAAUAUCAAUGACUAUAAUGCACAUUAAAACUAACUUACAAUGUUAAUUAACACAAUCAUCGCGGGAUGAACGGUGUCAGCCACUGGGACUCCUGAAACAACCAGCAAACCAGGCUGUCGUAAUGUGAAUCAGUGGAUGUAAAGAAUCUAGCUAGCUAAAGCAUUUACUGCAAAUUGAAUGUACAAUUUUGGAAGCUUGCCUUGCUGAUAUUUGCCAGGCAAUGCAGAAAGAUGAAGUAACGUAGUUAUUAUGUUCUUGCUUAUUGUGCAGUGGAGGAUACAAAUACCCGUAUUGUAAUCUGUACAUUUAAUAUAUUCACUGAUCAUGUAUUCUACCUUGGCAAAUAAAGGUGCAGUUCAGGUA